CGGUUAAUAUACACUCAGUUUUUUCAAUAUUUAAAUUUGGACCAGCUACUUUACUGAAUUGCUGUAUAGUCUCUAGUGCAUUUUUUAAAGAAUUUGGUUCUUUUACCAUAUUUGUGCAAUCAUCCGCAUGUUGUACUACAUGUAUUUUGUAUUCCCUAUCAAUAUUUUCAUUGAAUUUAAGUCCAUGUAUCUCAUGAUUUUUCCUUAUUUGAAUUGCUAGAAAUUCCACUACGAAAAUAAACAAUAAAGCAGACACAGGAC
rnacentral:sRNA from 1 species